CCUCUUGCUCUGAUGUGGCAGUGCAGCAAGAGGAACCGCCUCACAGCGAGUUUCUGCCAUCUCCUGGAUCCACUGCAUCUACUGCAGCUACCGCUCAAAGCAAAUCUCCACAGAUUAAUAAGCAGUGAGGCUUGUGUGGAUGUGACUGGCUCUUCUGAAUCUCCUUGAUGAGGUGAAUACAUCACAGGCUGCAUGAUGUAAACAUACACAUGAUAGUAUAUGAAGAUGGAUCACAUGAAGGCAGCAGGAAGCCGAUGAGAGUUGUGGUUCAUAUCUCUGACAGUUGCUGCCAUUGGGGGCACUUUACGCAUAUCCAUGUAUUCUGCGUUCUUGUCUGCAUUCUUCUGUCUCACUUGCUUCUGAAAGAGGUUAGUAGGUCAAAGGGUGAUGCCUGAAAACACACAGAGAGUCCACUGUUGUUUGCAUGUAACACGCUAAACUGAGCCUCAGAAAACGCAGGACAGACGACGGAGAGCACUGCAGUCAUCCGAACGAUCCAGCAGCCGUCGAGCAUAUCUGCACUGCUGCCUCUCAGAAGUGACUAAAGAAGACACCUGGUUCCUGUUCUAGACAAUGCAUGGGAGGAUUCGCAGGUCGAGAAACCUACAGGAUGGAGGAUUUAGAUUAAGUGCACAAAAUGUGAUUUUAUCAAUUACCAAAGAGCUAUCAACAUGUCAUAUCAGUUCUCUUUAAACUUUUCCUCUUAACUGUUCAGUGAAAUAUUAAUAAAAAAGCACAUUAUUCUCAUUCAGCAGCACAGUAGAUAUUAAAUAAGCAGAAAAUUAUAAAUAUUGGCAGAACAUUCAAACUAAAUUAAGGACAUACUUUCUAUAUUAUUAGGUGUAAUCUAUCGAAACAGCUCAGCCCACCCUGCGUAUUCUAUUUUCCACCCUUCUUGUGGAAAUGUGUCUCCUCUUGCUUUGAAGGAGGACCUUUUCAGAAAUGAGUCACAACUUUCCUUUUCAUUGGUCACAUCAUCAUUUAUUUCUCGCUUCGUGAACUUCUCACGAAGCCUUUUUAUUCUUUUUUUCUUUCUUUUUUUUUGCCUUUUCUUGCACAUUUUAGUUUCCUGUACUGCUUUUUGUUCUUUCUGCCUUUCUUUUUUUUUUGCAAGUGUGAGGCAAAGGAAAAUACCAGUUUUAGAUUUCUUGUGGUUAUAAAAAAAAAGCCAGACAUGGAAAUUUUUUAAUCCUUUUUGAGUAAUAUUAUUUG